rnacentral:lncRNA from 13 species
UGAUGUACUGUACUAGGAGAGAGUAUAAUGUCUGGAAACUGAAUGUUGAUGUACUGUACUAGGAGAGAGUAUAAUGUCUGGAAACUGAAUGUUGAUGUACUGUACUAGGAGAGAGAGUAUAAUGUCUGGAAACUGAAUGUUGAUGUACUGUACUAGGGUGGAAUAUUGAAUAUAAACUCAGCCUUGUGUGUGUUAUUAAAGCACUAGCAUGUUCACCAGCCUUCAGUCAUUAUUUCAUUCAGAUGAAUUGCAGAUUACCAGCAGGUUAAUAGGGAUUAUUACCAGAUUAUAUCCCAGAUGCUCCUACAACAUGUUCACCAGCCUUCAGUCAUUAUUUCAUUCAGAUGAAUUGCAGAUUACCAGCAGGUUAAUAGGGAUUAUUACCAGAUUAUAUCCCAGACGCUCCUACAACAUGUUCACCAGCCUUCAGUCAUUAUUUCAUUCAGAUGAAUUGCAGAUUACCAGCAGGUUAAUAGGGAUUAUUACCAGAUUAUAUCCCAGACGCUCCUACAACAUGUUCACCAGCCUUCAGUCAUUAUUUCAUUCAGAUGAAUUGCAGAUUACCAGCAGGUUAAUAGGGAUUAUUACCAGAUUAUAUCCCAG